UGUGAAAUACAAAUCGGACUAGGUUAUAGCUGGUUUUCUGCGAAAAUUGUUUUAGCAAAUUGUUUAUUUUGUUAUUAAUGGGUAUAGCACUGAAUAUCAAAAUGAUUCUUAGAGGGAGUACUACGGUAUUUAUCUCGGAUAUUUAAUCUCAGAAUAAUUAAUAAUUUAGAUAAAUAAUCGGACUUUUUGCGAUAAGGUGGAAAGUCAAAAGGGAAACAGCCCAGAAUAGAUAUUAAAGCUCCCCAAUUAAUAUUAAGUGAAAUAAAAGAAGUGAUUAUUUUAUGACAAUCAAGAAGUGGG
rnacentral:rRNA from 1 species